GUACUUGCUUCGGCAGUACAUAUACUAAAAUUGGAACGAUACAGAGAAGAUUAGCAUGGCCCCUGCGCAAGGAUGACACGAAAAAUCGUGAAGCGUUCCACAUUUUU
rnacentral:snRNA from 1 species